rnacentral:rRNA from 1 species
CCGACCGGCGCACGGGUGAGUAACACGUAUGCAACCUGGCCGUCACAGGUGGAUAACCGGAAGAAAUUCCGACUAAUACAGCAUAACACUCCUGAGGGACAUCCUUCGGGAGUCAAAGGAGGCAACUCCGGUGACGGAUGGGCAUGCGGCGCAUUAGGUAGUUGGUAGGGUAACGGCCUACCAAGCCGACGAUGCGUAGGGGUUCUGAGAGGAAGGUCCCCCACAUUGGAACUGAGACACGGUCCAAACUCCUACGGGAGGCAGCAG